rnacentral:lncRNA from 1 species
GACGCGAUCCGGGAGGCGUUGGCGAAGAUGGGCCAGCCGGACCUGCCCUUUACUGUCGCCGGUGAUCGCCUUGCCUCCGAUCCGCCGCCGGGCAUGGUCGCCCUCUACACGCCCUUUGCCGAUGCCGGUCUCGUUCUCCCGAUUCAAUCUUUGGUGGCCGAGGCGAUGUACCACUGCGGCGUUGCCAUCUCUCAGUUUCCUCCGGCCGCCAUCGACCGCCUGGUGAUCUUCGACCUUCUCUUGCGUCGCGCCGGCUGCCAGGUCUCUCUGCCGGUCUUCCUGACGUGGUUCACGAUGACCGCCAUGACCACUGACCCCCGCCGUGUGU